AAUAAGCGGMGGARAAGAAACUAACARGGAUUCCCCUAGUAMCUGCGAGUGAAGCGGGAAAAGCUCAAAUUUAAAAUCUGGCGACCUUUGGCCGUCCGAGUUGUAAUCUAGAGAAGUGUUAUCCGCGCUGGACCGUGUACAAGUCUCCUGGAAUGGAGCGUCAUAGAGGGUGAGAAUCCCGUCUUUGACACGGACUGCCAGGGCUUUGUGAUGCGCUCUCAAAGAGUCGAGUUGUUUGGGAAUGCAGCUCAAAAUGGGUGGUAAAUUCCAUCUAAAGCUAAAUAUUGGCGAGAGACCGAUAGCGAACAAGUACCGUGAGGGAAAGAUGAAAAGAACUUUGGAAAGAGAGUUAAACAGUACGUGAAAUUGCUGAAAGGGAAACGCUUGAAGUCAGUCGCGUUGUUUGGGAAUCAACCUUGCUUUUGCUGGGCGUACUUUCCAGAUGACGGGCCAGCAUCAAUUUUGACCGUUGGAUAAAGAUUGGAGGAAUGUGGCAUCUUCGGAUGUGUUAUAACCUUCAGUUGCAUACAACGGUUGGGAUUGAGGAACUCAGCACGCCGCAAGGCCGGGUACUCGUACCACGUUCGUGCUUAGGAUGCUGGCAUAAUGGCUUUAAUCGACCCGUCUUGAAACACGGACCAAGGAGUCUAACAUGCCUGCGAGUAUUUGGGUGGAAAACCCGAGUGCGUAAUGAAAGUGAAAGUUGAGAUCCCUGUCGCGGGGAGCAUCGACGCCCGGACCAGACCUUUUGUGACGGAUCUGCGGUAAAGCAUGUAUGUUGGGACCCGAAAGAUGGYGAACUAUGCCUGAAUAGGGUGAAGCCAGAGGAAACUCUGGUGGAGGCUCGUAGCGAUUCUGACGUGCAAAUCGAUCGUCAAAUUUGGGUAUAGGGGCGAAAGACUAUCGAACCAUUAAGGCUCU
rnacentral:rRNA from 1 species